GACGAACGCUGGCGGCGUGCUUAACACAUGCAGGUCGAACGGAAAGGCCCUGCUUUUGUGGGGUGCUCGAGUGGCGAACGGGUGAGUAACACGUGAGUAACCUGCCCUUGACUUUGGGAUAACUUUAGGAAACUGGGGCUAAUACCGGAUAGGAGCUCCUGCUGCAUGGUGGGGGUUGGAAAGUUUCGGCGGUUGGGGAUGGACUCGCGGCUUAUCAGCUUGUUGGUGGGGUAGUGGCUUACCAAGGCUUUGACGGGUAGCCGGCCUGAGAGGGUGACCGGCCACAUUGGGACUGAGAUACGGCCCAGACUCCUACGGGAGGCAGCAGUGGGGAAUAUUGCACAAUGGGCGGAAGCCUGAUGCAGCAACGCCGCGUGCGGGAUGACGGCCUUCGGGUUGUAAACCGCUUUCGCCUGUGACGAAGCGUGAGUGACGGUAAUGGGUAAAGAAGCACCGGCUAACUACGUG
rnacentral:rRNA from 1 species